rnacentral:rRNA from 1 species
GAUGAACGCUGGCGGCGUGCUUAACACAUGCAAGUCGAACGAUGAAGCCCAGCUUGCUGGGUGGAUUAGUGGCGAACGGGUGAGUAACACGUGAGUAACCUGCCCUUAACUCUGGGAUAAGCCCGGGAAACUGGGUCUAAUACCGGAUAGGAGCGCCUGUCGCAUGACGGGUGUUGGAAAGAUUUUUCGGUCAUGGAUGGACUCGCGGCCUAUCAGCUUGUUGGUGAGGUAAUGGCUCACCAAGGCGACGACGGGUAGCCGGCCUGAGAGGGUGACCGGCCACACUGGGACUGAGACACGGCCCAGACUCCUACGGGAGGCAGCAGUGGGGAAUAUUGCACAAUGGGCGGAAGCCUGAUGCAGCGACGCCGCGUGAGGGAUGACGGCCUUCGGGUUGUAAACCUCUUUCAGUAGGGAAGAAGCGAAAGUGACGGUACCUGC